GAUGACGAUAACAAUGUUGAUGUUGAUGCAGAUUAUGAGAAGAAGAUGAAGAUGAUCCUCAUGAUGCAGAUUUUGAGCCUAACUAUGGACUUGCAAGUUCUCAUGCAGGGAAUAAGGAUAAAGACUGGGAUGGUGAAUAUUCUGAGGAAGAAGAUUAUAGUAAUGGUGAUGAAAUAAAUGUUACAGAUGAAGACGAUUCUUAUCUUAAAAAGAAACCCACGGGCAGGCAAUAGAUUAAAGUUGGGUGUAAUAAUGUAAAACCCACUAGAGAACAUAAAUCCUCCAGUCGACAAAGAAGAGGGAGAUUGUCUUUUGAUGAGGAUGAUUACUCAACUGAGGAUUCUGACAGUGAAAGCGAUGGGGAUUUCAAGAGUAUGACACGAAGAAGUGGAAAUCAUCAUAAAAUUAAUGUUCAUUCUAAUAUGGCAACAAGCAUGGGAAGACAUAAUGAAAUUCGUACUUCUAGUAGGUCAGUCAGGAAAGUAUCAUAUGUUGAGAGUGAAAAAAGUGAAGA